AAGUCGUAACAAGGUUUCCGUAGGUGAACCUGCGGAAGGAUCAUUAUCAAGUUACAGCGGAGGCGCCCUCGGGUGUCCUCCUGUCUGCAACCCUUGUCUUUUGCGUACUGUAUGUUUCCUCGGUGGGCUCGCCCGCCGAUAGGACAUUCAUAAACCCUUCGUAGUUGCAAUCAGCGUCAGAAAUAACUAUAAUAGUUACAACUUUCAACAACGGAUCUCUUGGUUCUGG
rnacentral:misc_RNA from 1 species